UACGUAGGGUCCGAGCGUUGUCCGGAAUUACUGGGCGUAAAGAGCUCGUAGGUGGUUUGUCGCGUUGUUCGUGAAAACUCACAGCUCAACUGUGGGCGUGCGGGCGAUACGGGCAGACUAGAGUACUGCAGGGGAGACUGGAAUUCCUGGUGUAGCGGUGGAAUGCGCAGAUAUCAGGAGGAACACCGGUGGCGAAGGCGGGUCUCUGGGCAGUAACUGACGCUGAGGGGCGAAAGCGUGGGGAGCGAACAGG
rnacentral:rRNA from 1 species